UAGGGAAUAUUGGACAAUGGGCGAAAGCCUGAUCCAGCCACGCCGCGUGAGUGAUGAAGGCCUUCGGGUUGUAAAGCUCUGUGGGGAGGGACGAAAAAAGCGCUCAAGACAACGGGGCGCUCUUGACGGUACCUCCUUAGCAAGCACCGGCUAACUCUGUGCCAGCAGCCGCGGUAAUACAGAGGGUGCAAACGUUGCUCGGAAUCACUGGGCGUAAAGCGCGUGUAGGCUGAUAAUCAAGUCAGGUGUGAAAUCCCUGGGCUCAACCUAGGAACUGCACCUGAAACUGGUUGUCUAGAGUGUCGGAGAGGGAAGCGGAAUUCCUGGUGUAGAGGUGAAAUUCGUAGAUAUCAGGAGGAACACCGGUGGCGAAGGCGGCUUCCUGGACGAUUACUGACGCUGAGACGCGAAAGCGUGGGGAGCAAACAGGAUUAGAUACCCCUGUAGUCC
rnacentral:rRNA from 1 species